rnacentral:rRNA from 1 species
UACGUAGGGUGCAAGCGUUAUCCGGAAUUAUUGGGCGUAAAGAGCUCGUAGGCGGUUUUGUCGCGUCUGCUGUGAAAACUGGAGGCUCAACCUCCAGCCUGCAGUGGGUACGGGCAAACUAGAGUGCGGUAGGGGAGAUUGGAAUUCCUGGUGUAGCGGUGGAAUGCGCAGAUAUCAGGAGGAACACCGAUGGCGAAGGCAGGUCUCUGGGCAUUAACUGACGCUGAGGAGCGAAAGCAUGGGGAGCAAACAGG